UCGGCGGAAGAAGCUGCGUUUUCUUUUCCGCGCGGCCACCGAAGGAUGAGGGUGUGUGAGGUCCCGUCGGGCAAGCGGGCCGGGUGGCAGCGUCCGAGGGCCAGUCGCAGGGCUCUUCGAGGUGCAGCAGAGCCUAUGAGGUGAAGAUGAAUGAAGGUCAUCCUGAUGAUUUCCAGAAACUGCUCACAGGAUGGCUGUGAUAAAACCACUAGGAGCACAACUGCAUGUAAUGAGCAUAUAGGUAGCUGCAGAUGAAUAUUCAAGUCCAAAACUGUCAUGGUCAAAAUUCAUUGCCUCAGAGGCAUGCAGUUGGAAGGAAAAAUGAAGAGUUGGUCAAGAAGACAUGAAACAGAUAAUAAAAUUAAUAUUUUAUUUAAAAUUGAUCACCUUACAAUAAAUGAUGUAGAAAAAUA